AUUGAACGCUGGCGGCAGGCCUAACACAUGCAAGUCGAGCGAGCGGCGGACGGGUGAGUAAUGUCUGGGAAACUGCCUGAUGGAGGGGGAUAACUACUGGAAACGGUCGCUAAUACCGCAUACCAUCAGAUGUUCCCAGAUGGGAUUAGCUAGUUGGUGGGGUAACGGCUCACCUAGGCGCCGAUCCCUAGCUGGUCUGAGAGGAUGACCAGCCAAACUGGGACUGAGACACGGUCCAGACGCCUACGAGAGGCAGCAGUGGGGAAUAUUGCACAAUGGGCGGAAGCCUGAUACAGCCAUGCCGCGUGUGUGAAGAAGGCCUUCGGGUGGUAAAGCACUUUCAGCGGGGAGGCGUUACCCGCAGAAGAAGCACCGGCUAACUCCGUGCCAGCAGCCGCGGUAAUUC
rnacentral:rRNA from 1 species